UGAAAGCAUCUAAGCGUGAAACUCUCCCUAAGAUGAGAUCUCUCAUCCAUUAUGGAGUAAGGGCCCAGAAAGACGAUCUGGUUGAUAGGCCGGAGGUGGAAGCACGGUAACGUGUGCAGCUGACCGGUACUAAUAGCCCGAGGGCUUGACCUACAA
rnacentral:rRNA from 1 species